CUCCUACGGGCGGCAGCAGUGGGGAAUCUUGCACAAUGGGGGCAACCCUGAUGCAGCGACGCCGCGUGAACGAUGAAGCCCUUCGGGGUGUAAAGUUCUUUCGACCAAGACGAUAAUGACGGUACUGGUGGAAGAAGCACCGGCUAACUCUGUGCCAGCAGCCGCGGAAUUC
rnacentral:rRNA from 1 species